UUCUCAUUCUUGGCCUGUUCUUGGUUUUGGGAGCACCGCUUCAAUUCCUCAUUAUUCUUCUUAGCUUUCUUUGGCCAGUGGCGGUCAGCAAUUUUCUCUCAUUCUCGGUCAGCAAUUUUCUCUUUUGGUUAUACUGAGUUGUGCCCUGUUCUCUCACCAUCGAAGUCACUGAUACAAUCGCUUUGUUUUCUCUAUCUCUCCGUCUCUGCUUCACCCUACACAUCGCCGCCCUUUCAAUCACCUACUAAGAGAUGACGCAUUCCAGUUGAACACUCUCAAGGCGCGCAUGAAAUAAUCAACCGGAUAGCUUUGCUUUUUCUUGCUGCUCUCUCUAAGUUGCUCUACACGCUUUUCCAAACCCUCUGCCAAUCCUCUAUUAUGAGAGCUGCUUGAAAGUGGGUAAAAAUAUUUUUCUGGCACCAGUAUCUUCGAUGCUUCCAAGUGUGGUGUUAUUCAGCUCAAUAGUGGCUUCGCUCAAACUCCUCAGAUGAGGUCUUCAUGGAAAAAUCUUUCUCAAUACAAAAGGGGAUAUAGCAUAUAUAGUUUGAGGCAGCUUGGGCUCUCACAAACAUUGCUUCCGGGACAUCUAUGCACACUAAGGUUGUAAUAGACAAUGGUGCUCUUCCCAUAUUCGCACAGCUUCUUAGUUCUCCCAGCGAUGAUGCCCGUGAACAGGCUGUAUGGGCUCCGUGAAAUGUGGUUGGUGAUUCCCCAAAAUGCCGUGAUUUUGUUCCUGGUCAUGGAGCUCUAGGUCCUUUGGUGGCUUAGCUAAAUGAGCAUGCAAACUAUCAUUGUUGCGAAAUGCCACGUGGACACUAUCUAAUUUCUGCAGAGGCAAGUUUUAGCCAUAUUUUGACAAGAGAGAAUGCAAAAGUUUAGUUGGAUUACAUACUCAACGUCACCAAAGGCUCGUGUAAUUACGCUGGAUGGAUUGAGAAAAAUUCUCAGGAGUCAUUAGCGUUUAUUUUGAACCUAAAUGAAUUGGUUGGCUAUACUAUUAUAAUUGCUGUGUACUUUUGCUUUAGUUUUGUGUACAAGAUUAAUAUAGUAUAUGCUAGCCCACUAUAGCUGUUAUGUAUAUAUAUUUUUUCAGAAACGGUAGGAAUUGUAUUAAUGAUUUAAAGCUUUA